GUGAAUCAUCAAAUUUUUGAACGCAAAUUGCACUCCUUUCGGAGAGUAUGCCUGUUUGUGGUUCAGCCUCAAAAAAACCGAACUAGUUGAUGUGUCGCGGUAACAUUCGUCGGAAAUUGGGUUAUCUUAAACCUUUGGGUUUAUGUUGCUUAAAAUAUUCUUUACGCUUCCAAGAACGUUUCUACGAUUUUAUUUUCUUAUACGUUUAAGUUAUCGAUGUUUAUUAGACGUGUCCGUUGCAUCGGAUCUAGUCC
rnacentral:misc_RNA from 1 species